rnacentral:lncRNA from 1 species
AUCUCACUGGUGUUUUCCUAUCGGUGCUAGAAUGCUAAGUGCUUAUCGGUGCUAAGAGUUCAGGCUCUGCACUGUUAUCAUUUGGCUCUCAUGGAAACUAUCUUUUAGAGAAUAUUCAGAAUUACACUGCCUUCCUUUCCUCAUCUGGAAGUCAGUUUGUGAAUAAUAUCAGGAAUGGUACCUCCUCCUUCUUUCACAGUGGGAUAAUUACAACAGUUUUUGAGUACUUUGAAUAUCCAUGUGUAACCAAUAUACUCCUAUUGCUAAGUCUGCAUAAUGUGUUUCCUCUUCUCUCUAAGGUUAAUCAAUCAGUUAGAAAUCUCACCCAGGAAUUUGCCCCGAGACAGUGUGGUGGCGGGUGCCAAGAUGUGUGGGAGGAUAUGGAUCUGUCACAGUUGACUCCUACGAUAGUUUUGAACUUCACCCCUGAACAAGUGCAAAAUCCGAAAAACCUGAUAGAAUAUUUGAGAGUCGUAUGCCCUGACCCUGACAAUGCCAGAGAACGACAGCUUGCUGCACUGUGCUGGGUCCUGGCUUACGCAUAUCAAACAGUAAUUAACACUACCCAGCACCCUCAAGGGAGGGAGGAAGUCUCUGAAUCUGAUGACCAGAUAACACAUGCUGUGGCUGACCCAGAGGACCAACUGACUAUGGUAUCAGUCACCCCCACAGUCAAUGGGCAAAACAAUGGAAACAGAAGUCAGCUCGCUUAGUAAGGGAAGAAGCCUCUCCUAAGAAGAAGGGAGAAGGAGAAAAGGCAGACAGCUCUAAAGCAGAGCCAUCACAGAAACAUCAGGAAGAAGAUAUGGAAAUCAUAAACGAAUCAGAAACCACCCGAUCCCUAUCCUUGAGUGAGUUGCGAGAAAUAUGAAAGGAUUUCAGUCAACACCCAGGUGAACACAUCCUCACCUGGCUGCUUUGAUGCUGGAACACUGGGGCCAAUACCCAACAAUUAGAAUGCAAGGAAUCCAAGCAGCUGGGAUCCCUCUCUAGAGAAAGGGUCAUUGACAGAGUAAUUGG